rnacentral:rRNA from 1 species
AUACGUAGGGGGCAAGCGUUGUCCGGAAUUAUUGGGCGUAAAGCGCGCGCAGGCGGUUCUUUAAGUCUGGUGUCUAAGUGCGGGGCUCAACCCCGUGAUGCAUUGGAAACUGAGGAACUUGAGUGCAGAAGAGGAGAGCGGAAUCCCACGUGUAGCGGUGAAAUGCGUAGAGAUGUGGAGGAACACCAGUGGCGAAGGCGGCUCUCUGGACUGUAACUGACGCUGAGGCGCGAAAGCGUGGGGAGC